GUCUACAGCCAUACCACCCUGAAUGUGCCUGAGAUCGUCUGAUCUCAGAAGCUAAGCAGGGUCAGGCCUGGUUAGUACUUGGAAGGGAGAAAACAUUGGAAAGGAGUGCAAGGCUGGAACCC
rnacentral:rRNA from 1 species